rnacentral:rRNA from 1 species
CCUACGGGAGGCAGCAGUGGGGAAUAUUGGACAAUGGGGGCAACCCUGAUCCAGCAAUGCCGCGUGUGUGAAGAAGGCCUUCGGGUUGUAAAGCACUUUUAUCGGGAACGAAAUCUGCUCGGCCAAUACCCGUGCAGUCUGACGGUACCCGAGGAAUAAGCACCGGCUAACUUCGUGCCAGCAGCCGCGGUAAUACGAAGGGUGCAAGCGUUAAUCGGAAUUACUGGGCGUAACCUGUGCGUAGGCGGUUUGUUAAGUCUGUCGUGAAAGCCCCGGGCUCAACCUGGGAAUGGCGAUGGAUACUGGCAAGCUGGAGUGUGAUAGAGGAUGGUGGAAUUCCCGGUGUAGCGGUGAAAUGCGUAGAGAUCGGGAGGAACAUCAGUGGCGAAGGCGGCAUCUGGAUCAACACUGACGCUGAGGCACGAAAGCGUGGGAGCAAACAGGAUUAGAUACCCUGGUAGUCCACGCCCUAAACGAUGCGAACUGGAUGUUGGUGCCAACUCGGGCAUCAGUGUCGAAGCUAACGCGUUAAGUUCGCCGCCUGGGGAGUACGGUCGCACAGACUGAAACUCAAAUGAAUUGACGGGGA